rnacentral:rRNA from 1 species
AAGAUGGCGACCGGCGCACGGGUGAGUAACACGUAUCCAACCUGCCGAUAACUCCGGAAUAGCCUUUCGAAAGAAAGAUUAAUACCGGAUAGCAUACGAAUAUCGCAUGAUAUUUUUAUUAAAGAAUUUCGGUUAUCGAUGGGGAUGCGUUCCAUUAGGUUGUUGGCGGGGUAACGGCCCACCAAGCCUUCGAUGGAUAGGGGUUCUGAGAGGAAGGUCCCCCACAUUGGAACUGAGACACGGUCCAAACUCCUACGGGAGGCAGCAUG